GCCGGGCACGGUGGCUUGUGCCUGUAAUCCAAGCGCCGGGGAGGCUGAGGCUGGCGGAUCGCUUGAGCCCAGGGGUUCUGGGCUGCAGCGAGCUGUGCCGAGCGGGCGUCCGCGCUAAGGCCGGCAUCGAUAUGGUGGUCCUUGGGGAGCCGUGGGCUACCAGGUCGCUUAAGGAGGGGUGAACCGGCCCAGGUCGGAGACGGAGCAGGUCAAAGCUCCCGUGCCGCUCGGUAGCGGGAUCGCGCCUGUGAACAGUCCCUGUAGUACAGCCUGGGUGAGAGAGCGGGACCCAGCCUCUU
rnacentral:SRP_RNA from 1 species